rnacentral:tRNA from 1 species
GGCUGAUUGGUCAAGCGGUUAAGACGCCGCCCUCUCACGGCGGAAACAGGGGUUCGAUCCCCCUAUCAGCUG